AGGGGAGGAUUCUUCAGUGAAAAUUGAAUGAUGCAUUAUGGAGAUGUGAGAAGCCUUGUCUUCCCUUGGAAGUCCGGUGUCCUCUGACAAGCUGAGCAUGCGAGGAGCUCCUGACGGCAGCAUUUAUGAAACACUUGCUUAGCGCCAGGAACAGUGGUGAGCAUCUGCACAGACCUCUUAAUCACUGCCACAGUUCUAUGGAUGAGGAAACUGAGGCUCGAACAAGUGACGUCACUUGCCCAGGGCUACCCAGCAAGUCAGAGAUGAAUACCAGAGUUCCAGGGAGUCUGCAUCUUAUUUUCUGACUACUUUACCUAUUCCACUGCAAUUGAUUUUCCAUGUCAUCGGAGAGAAAACACAAAGUAGAAGCAGAAUGCACCUCUGACCCUUUACCAACUGUGCUUUUUAACCUGGUCAUUCAGUAAAGCGGCGUGAAGCCCUUCAGGCCUGGUCACAAAAUGCCGUGGAGAAGUUCAAGCAUCCCACACAGAUCAGACAACCUCCGGAAAUAGAAAAGAGACUCAGAAAGAGGAAACGUUCCCCAGAAGGUCCCAGCAAGAUUGUGGUCUUUCCCGUCAGACCAUGAGCCAAUCAACCAAUGUGCUUAGCCAUGGAUGCACAUUUGGAUCCCCAAGGUGCUUGGAGACUGCAGCUGCUUGGGCCCCACCUCCAGGGAUUCCAGCUCACUGGCUCAGGGUGGGGCCCAGGCAUCAAUUUUCUAAACAGCUUCUAGGUGAGACUAAUAUGCAUGUGAAUUUGAGUGAGAAGCGGUUACCUGGGGACCCUGUGCCAGUUCCAAAGAAGACGUGUGCACCCAGCGGCCGCAGGGCACUGUCAGGCAGGGAAAGCACACCUUGCCACAGGCAGACUCUGAAGCAAUGUCCCCUUGGGAGAUGCUGUGCCACAGCCACUGGAAGUCACUGAGCAUAUUAGGAACAACUCUCCAAGUCCUACAGUGAUGGGAGACCAGGUUCCAGUGGCUACUCCUGAUUCACAGCCACACCUCAAGAGCAGAGGAAGAAUCUUUGUCUUGCUGCAGAAGGAUGCACAUAGAAGGUCACUUGGGUCUCAGCAUUCACUUACUUUCGAGACAGGACCACUGCCCUGCCCAGGCAGAGUUGAUAACAGUACCUGGAAUUUGUAUAACACUUUGUAACUUACAAGCUCUCUUACAGAUAUCUCAGUGUUCACCAAAGUGUGAUAACAUAACCCACAGGGGGUAUAAAAGAUGUUUUUAGAUAGUACAUGGAAAUUUUCAAUAGUUAUCUUAAUGCAUUUUAGGAAAAACAUAAUUAGCAAGUGAAAAUCAUGAUUUCACAGAUCUCAUUUCUUAUGAUAAAGUACAUGAUUAAAGUCCCCCUUCCUUUUAGUGAGUUGAUUUAAAGAGAAAUACUAAUUUCAGGUGGUGCUUGGAUAUGGUAAGAAAUUGUAAUGGGCUCUCAGGAUGGACAAAGUCUGGGAAAUCCUGUGUUAUUUCACUGAGUCACCAACAGUCUAGAGUAAGUAAAUUGUUGCUUGUUCUUAGCUUCAUUUGAUAGGUUAGUAAGUUGAAGAUUUGAGUUUAAGCAAAUCAUCCAUUUUCCCCCCUUUUUAUGGGCAUGAAUUCACGUCUUAGGAAUGCAACUCCAGGUUCCUUUCUCCUGCCUGACUCUUCCUUAGAGAGUGUGUGUUUCAGCCAGAGCCUGUUUGCCCAGCAGGUGAGGGAGGGAUUCCCAGAGUCGCCCACACUCCCUCUCCUGUUCCUUUUUGGGAUUAACAAUCUGUGCAGCACCGAAUCCAUAACAGAAUGGACUGACUCAGUGGUUAUCAAACAGUGGUUCCCAGGCCAGCAGAAUCAGCACCACCUGGGGCUUAUUAGUAAUGCAAAUUCUUAGGUCUGUUCUAGAAGUACUGAAUCGGGAACUCUGGGGACAAGGUCCACAAAUCUGCUUUAUCAAGUCUAUAGGCUGAUUCUAAUGAAUACUAGAGUUUGAGAACGAUCCUAUGGUCCUCCAUUGGUGGGAACUGACUCCAUAUGAGACCCUUAGCAAUAUCUGUAGACCGUUUUUGUUGUCCCCACUGGGUGGAGGGUGCUAGUGAUUAGAGGCCAGGGAUGCUACUCAACAACCUGCAAUGUAAAGAACAGAUCCCCACCGCAAAGAAUUACCCAGCCCAAAGUAUCAGAAGUGCUGAGGCUGAGAAAUACUACACCACUGGCCAGUGGGCAUGGAUCUUCUCCAGGAUGCCUGUGGCCAUAUGCACAAUACCCGGAAAGGAUAUCAAAUUGUAGUCAGAGUUGAUGGUGGAUUUAGCCCCAGAAAUCAGGGAAGCCCGGGGUGCGUGUGUGGGGCUUUGUACUUGGUACCUCUCUCAGCACUCAGACUUCAAACUACCCCCUGGUGGCUCAGAUUCUACCUAUCCAGAAAAGAAUCCCAGUCCCUGUUAAUGAAGCAGUAUGGUAUAACAGGAAACAGCACUAUUUGGAGGGUCUAAUUCUUUAUAGUUGAACCCCAGCUUCAUUCUUUGCUUUCUUGAGUGUUUAGAUGUGAGGUGGCCCCUCCAAAACUCAUGUGUGCUAUAAUGCAAGAAAAUUCAGAGGUGAAAUGUUUGGGUUAUAAGAACCUCAACCUAAUCAGUGGAUUGAUCCCCUGAUAGGGAUUAACUGGAUGGUAACUGU